AGCAUCUCUCUGAGAAGCCCUUUCAAGCAAAAUCCAAACAGGACCAGAGAACCUCAGACCGUCCCCAACCCCCCUGUGAGGUCCGCGGGUUGUGGAAUCUCGCACGCCACCUGGCCCUCGCAGCGCGGCCAGCUGAGGGGUUCAUUUUAUUUUAUUUUAUUUUAUUUUUUGAAGUUAAGGCUGAAUUUCGGCUUCAGCGCUUUUGCCAACGUCUCCACUGACAGGAACCAGCAAACUUCAGGACUCAAAUGAGCGUCUUAAUUUAUUGAUGCAAAACAGGUCUGCUUGUCGCCCCCAAUUCGCGGCGCGCACUGUCCCCCACGCCCCCAGCUUCGGUCCCUCCAUUUGAUCUCAGGUGACUAUUUGGAAAGUGUAAUACAUUCCCGAAGCACACUCACCCCCAACAAAUAGUGAUCAAUUAGGAGGGAAGCAUCAUGCCACCUGCUUGGUACAUGCUAAGCAAGUUCACAACUUGAACAGUUGCCUUGUUUCCUUGGCCAGGUCACCCCAUUACCUGCAAUCCGAUGCAAACGUGUGACAGAACUACAAUUAAUUAGGAAGAACAAUACCCUAUGUUAACUCAAGUUACUCUCCUUCCCAAAUGCAGAGAUGUGUACCAAUUAGGAAAAAAUAUUUUCACAUCAUUUUCCCUUUUUGACCUGGCAUGGGAAGGAGCUCUUACAGCCAGCUUGCUGAGGUUAAGAAGUGCCAAAAAUCCCAAUUGUUCAAGGUAAAAAGAAGAGGAUCUUAACACUGUUGAAAGCCCUUUGCCCAAACUUCAGAGACUUGAAGGAAUUGGGGCGGCUAUAGAAGGGAUGGAAUAGCACUGACAAAGUAUGCCUGCACUAUCUUCUUCCUACCUUCCAGCUAAGGACUGAAAUGUCUGCUUAAAAAAAAAAAAAAAAGAUUCUCCACGCCCUCGCCAGAGUGAGUGAGUGACUGAAAACCUAAAUCUGCCUGCCUCGCUGCUGAGUAGAAAAGCCAUCAGUGGUUCUCCACUUCCUCAUGCUGUGAUUCUCCAGCUCAGUUUCUAGUAAAAUUGAGAAUCCAUGAGGUUGGACCAUGUUAAUCCUCCCUGUCUCCAGGAUUUGAGUACCUCGGUGUGAGAAGCAAGAGCCAAUGAAAUGACCAUAGUUUCUUGAGCAAGGCACACAAAGUCCUCUUAGAAAGCUUCACAUGUGAGAUAAAUGCACUCAAAGACUCCUUACAAGUAGCUCUUCGGAGCUUCAGAUGUGAAAUGGAUCAUUCCUCAGUCUGUAAUAGACCCUUCUGUGAAGCUCUUCAAUCAAACCCGAGAAUUCAAGGCGUUUUGUAGCAUCCUAAACAGAAGGAUAUUGAAGGGAGCUGAUUCUGCUUUGAUCCUUGUGCUUGUUGUCAAAGCGCUUGGGAUUGAAGAGACUGUUGGCUACAAUUGACUGUGACAAUUAGGAGAUGAUCAGAGCCCUAGAGUGGAGCACUUAAAGGGGAGGUAAUGUGUGAAUGAAUGAAAAGGCAGGGAUUAUUUUCCAUUCUAAGCAGGAUUGUCAGCACAUUUCUACUUGACUGAAAUUGUUUUGGAAGGUGAGCUGGAACAAGAAUCUUGCAGCUAAAAUGAAGUGACUCUGCAUGUUUUAGAUUUGUCGACUACAGUGUCCUCGAGUGGAAUCAUUCUAUCUUAACUCUGACCUGGAGGAUAGUGAAGUUCGAAAGACUUGUUGCUCUGAAUAUCUUGACCACUGCAUUCUGGCGUUUGUCUUUUCCUUUUUUCCUUCUGACUCAGUGUGGACUUGACUUCCAGAAGUCUGGACUUGGAAAAGAUGGCAACAAUUUUCAUGUGCUUGGAGUGAACAUGGGUUGUUUAUUUCCUUCAAAUACAUAAGGUCUCUUAAGAUAGUUCCCAACACCAGUCAAAGAUUUUGUUACUGAUCUGCAAUAAGUCUUUUGCUCUAGGAUAAAAGAAAGGUUUAUCAGCAAAUUCAAAAUAAAGUUAGCUUUCAUGCUUUUUAUGCUGUCAAAUUAGUGACACAGAUGGGGG